UAGGAGCAAUAGGAAGUUAGAGGGAGAUGUUGGGUAUGGUGGAGGGGAGAUGAAGGGUUAGGAGCAAUAGGAAGUUAGAGGGAGAUGUUGGGUAUGGUGGAGGGGAGAUGAAGGGUUAGGAGCAAUAGGAAGUUAGAGGGAGAUGUUGGGUAUGGUGGAGGGGAGAUGAAGGGUUAGGAGCAAUAGGAAGUUAGAGGGAGAUGUUGGGUAUGGUGGAGGGGAGAUGAAGGGUUAGGAGCAAUAGGAAGUUAGAGGGAGAUGUUGGGUAUGGUGGAGGGGAGAUGAAGGAGGGGUAGAGGGGAGAUGAAGGGUUAGGAGCAAUAGGAAGUUAGAGGGAGAUGUUGGGUAGGGUGGAGGGGAAAGUUUGAGUUGUCACAUAUUUUGAUGGGUUAGGGUGUCACAGAUGGGGAGGUUUGGGGAUGGGGAGAGUUUGGAUGGGGUGGGGUGUCACAGAGUGGAAGGAUGGAGAUAUCCAAUUAAAAGAGGAGAAACCACAGAGGACAGAGAGAUGGGUUUGAGCAUUUUUUUUACGCAAACCAUACACAGCACUAAUAGGUUUUCACCCCGAUAUGAUGAUGCAUUUUAAUGAAGGCUGCCCACCACAGAGACUGAUCGAGCCAAGGCCUCAGACCUCAGACAAGAUGAGCCGUCUGGGGAAUCUCUCACCCAACAGAUUGAUGACAAAUGGAGACAGAUAGCAUCAGCAGACAGGAUUAGUAAUGCAGACGCCCAAACAGUGUUCCCAGAGCAAUUCAAUUUGAAGCUGUGAAAAUCGAACUGAAAUGUAGCGCAUUGAGUCUGACACCUGGAGAGAGAGAGAGAGGCCAUCAAGUGUCUGGAGUCACCUAGUUCUGUCGCUUUGCUGAUUUUUAUUGUUAUUUAUAGCCUGCUGUCUGGACAAGAAACAACAGAUGCCAAAUCAUAAUUUGAUCAUCCUGUUGUUGCAGGAACUAAAAAAAAAAUGUCUAAAGUUUGUAAUUUCCACAUUAAAAUGUCAGACUUUAUUUGCCUUAAAAAAAAUUAUCAACCCCUACAAAGAAAUAAUAUUAAUUAUAAUCCACAUAAUAAUUCACAUUUCUUGUUGCUGCAGGAUUCUUUUCUUGCUGUGAAAAACUGGGUCAAAUUAAGAUCCGGAAUCUGUAGUAGCUAGAUGGACUGUCUGAGUGACAGUUGAUUAUUUGAUUCUAACACAUUGGAUUCCAACCUGGGAGCACAUCUUUCUUUUUGUAAUAAGCAGCCCUCUCCUCUUGGAAUGAUUAGAAAGAGGUUGUAAAUUCAAGGCAAAAAGCCAUUCGUUUAAUCAGCCGUAAACUACAUUAAUAUUUAUGCCCAUGUCAUUAAUAUGCAUUGCAUUCACACUGGAACAGAAAUCCUAUUACCUAAACCUUUCAAGGUUCAACACAUCGUAAAGAUUAAUAAUACAUGUUUUUGCUUAGAAUGAAGGGCAAAUACCCCUUUCUGGAUUCAGUGUAAAUGUCAUGUUUACACUAAAGGUUUUGGAUGCAAUUCAAUUCCAACAGAUUUUACAGGUCCAGGAUAUUAGAAUAUCACAUGAAGAUAACGGUUUAAAAUUGUUUUUAUUUUCCUGUUUCUCCACAAAUCUAAACGACGGGAUUAUUGUUGAUAAUAACAUUUUCUUGUAUAACAUGUUACUCACAGGCCAGGGACAGUGUGCAGGAGCUGGUGACGCUGGCUAAGGGGUUACUGGCCACACACUCAUAGAGCCCUGCGUCCCUCCUGCUGGUCUUCAUGAUCGUAACGAGCUGCCUGCCGUCUGGACAGGAGAUCAGACUCAUCCUGUCGUCCAUCUCCAGUGGUCUCUUAUCUGUGGACAAGUAAACCCAUCAACAAUAACAAUUACAGUGGCAUCCUGUAAAGUAAUGUGUCAUUUUACAGUCCUAUUUCAAAAGGUGUUUAUCUAGGAUUCGAUGAGAAACUUGAUGGAAAUAAUGAGCAAUCUCUAACAUCAACACAAGUUUAGGAAGUCGCAGGGCACACAGGGCACCAUGUAAGUAUGAGCUAUGAUGGGUUAUGACAAUAUAUCAUCCCUUCACAGGCAACGACCAACAUUUCAGCAGCAGCUCCUACGGUAAAGCUUUAUUAGACAGCGCUGUUGCAAAGAGUGUUGUCUGUCAGCUCUAUGAGUUCUUACCUUUAGUCCAGCUGAUUUGUGGGUGGGGGCUGCCAGCCGGGAGGCAGCUAAGAGUGACAGGGUCACCCUCCAAUAAGACGUGGUCCCUCAGCUUGAUGUGGAACACAGGAGGGAAGUCUGGGAAAAACAAGGGUGUGGCUUAAUAAUAUUAUUGAACACUGAGAAUGAAUUUAGAAUGUAAAAGCAGUGUGCAGCUUUCAUUGCCAAACUCCAACUCUGUUUGCACAUUCAACAUGAAGGCAACUGGUUGCUGAAUUUAGCAGACAGUACUAGAGGAAGUGCGGGAGUACUGCAGGCUGCCUGAUGACCCCUCAUCUUUGGCUGAGGGGAGGUCAGUCUGAGAGGGGGUCUUAUCCUUCCUGCUCCUGCCCAGACCCCACCUGUCCCACCGCGACCGCCUGUCAGUCUCUGGAGCUGUGGAGGACACGACAUAAUGGCAAACAGUUGAGACAGAGGAACCUGAGGAGGACCUGAGACCUAGGACCAUGCCUCAGAACUACCUGGCCUGAUGACUCCUGGCUGUCCCUGUUCCCCAGUCCACCUGGUUGUGCUGCUGAUCCAGGACCUGCUAUUUUUACCCUCUCUCCCACCACCUGCUGUCUCGACCUCUGAAUGAUUGGCUAUGAAAAGCCAACUGACAUUUACUCCUGAGUGGGAAUCUGAUGUACCUUGAUGUCAAGAUGAGCAAUGUCUUUCUGGUGAAGGUAGCUGACCCCUUCAAGCACCUGCUGAAUACUGGACCGGAUCUGCAGCACAGAAUAUCUCCUUUAACACAUUUGACAUUCUAUAUUCUAUAUUCUACAUUCUAUAUUUUACAUAUUCUACACUGAACAAAAAUAUAAACACAACAUGUAAAGUGUUGGUCCCAUCUUU